GUGCUUGCUUUGUGAGCACACAUACUAAAAUUGGAAUGAUACAAAGAAGAUUAAGAUGGCCCUUGAACAAGGAUGACACGCAAAUUCUUGAAGCAUUCCAUAUUUUU